AUGCAGUCGAGCGGUAGCACAGGGAGCUUGCUCCUGGGUGACGAGCGGCGGACUUGUGAGUAAUGUCUGGGAAACUGCCUGAUGGAGGGGGAUAACUACUGGAAACGGUAGCUAAUACCGCAUAACGUCGCAAGACCAAAGAGGGGGACCUUCGGGCCUCUUGCCAUCAGAUGUGCCCAGAUGGGAUUAGCUAGUAGGUGGGGUAAUGGCUCACCUAGGCGACGAUCCCUAGCUGGUCUGAGAGGAUGACCAGCCACACUGGAACUGAGACACGGUCCAGACUCCUACGGGAGGCAGCAGUGGGGAAUAUUGCACAAUGGGCGCAAGCCUGAUGCAGCCAUGCCGCGUGUAUGAAGAAGGCCUUCGGGUUGUAAAGUACUUUCAGCGAGGAGGAAGGCAUUGUGGUUAAUAACCACAGUGAUUGACGUUACUCGCAGAAGAAGCACCGGCUAACUCCGUGCCAGCAGUCGCGGUAAUACGGAGGGUGCAAGCGUUAAUCGGAAUUACUGGGCGUAAAGCGCACGCAGGCGGUCUGUCAAGUCGGAUGUGAAAUCCCCGGGCUCAACCUGGGAACUGCAUUCGAAACUGGCAGGCUAGAGUC
rnacentral:rRNA from 1 species